GACGAACGCUGGCGGCAUGCCUAAUACAUGCAAGUCGAGCGAACAGAUGAAGUGCUUGCACUUCUGACGUUAGCGGCGAACGGGUGAGUAACACGUAAGGAAUCUACCUAUAAGCGGGGGAUAACAUUCGGAAACGGGUGCUAAUACCGCAUAAUAUCUUCUUCCGCAUGGAAGAAGAUUGAAAGACGGCUCUGCUGUCACUGAUAGAUGAUCUUGCGGUGAAUUAGUUAGUUGGUGGGGUAACAACCUACCAAGAAGAUGAUGCAUAGCCGACCUGAGAGGGUGAUCGGCCACAUUGGGACUGAGACACGGCCCAAACUCCUACGGGAGGCAGCAGUAGGGAAUCUUCCGCAAUGGGCGAAAGCCUGACGGAGCAAUGCCGCGUGAGUGAAGAAGGCCUUCGGGUCGUAAAACUCUGUUAUAAGAGAAGAACAAAUUGUAGAGUAACUGCUACAGUCUUGACGGUAUCUUAUCAGAAAGCCACGGCUAACUACGUGCCAGCCGCCGCCGUAA
rnacentral:rRNA from 1 species